GACCGCGUAGCUCAGUUGGCAGAGCAUUGGGCUAGUAUUCCAAAGGUCGUAGGUUCGAUUCCCACCGUGGUCA